GAUGAACGCUGGCGGCGUGCCUAACACAUGCAAGUCGAACGGGUAGUAAUACCAGUGGCAAACGGGUGAGUAAUGCAUAGGAAUCUGCCCUUUAGUGGGGGAUAGCUCGGAGAAAUUCGAAUUAAUCCCGCAUAAUGUCGAGAGAUGAAAGCAGCAAUGCGCUAAGGGAUGAGCCUGUGUCCGAUUAGCUAGUUGGUGGGGUAAAGGCCUACCAAGGCAACGAUCGGUAGCUGGUCUGAGAGGAUGAUCAGCCACAGUGGAACUGAGACACGGUCCACACUCCUACGGGAGGCAGCAGUGAGGAAUUUUCCGCAAUGGGCGAAAGCCUGACGGAGCGAUACCGCGUGUAGGAAGAAGGCCUUCGGGUUGUAAACUACUGUCGAUGGGGAAGAAAAAAAUGACGGUACCCAUAAAGGAAGCACCGGCUAACUCUGUGCCAGCCGCCGCCGUAA
rnacentral:rRNA from 1 species